rnacentral:tRNA from 1 species
AUUGUUUCGGUGUUAGGCACCGAGGAAUUUGAGUCCUCAAGAAUUUUUUUUUUAAACAAUA